UACAGGGGGGGCAAGCGUUGUUCGGAAUUACUGGGCGUAAAGGGCUCGUAGGCGGCCAACUAAGUCCGACGUGAAAUCCCAAAGCUUAACUUUGGAACUGCGUCGGAUACUGGAUGGCUUGAAUUCGGGAGAGGGAUGCAGAAUUCCAGGUGUAGCGGUGAAAUGCGUAGAUAUCUGGAGGAACACCGGUGGCGAAGGCGGCAUCCUGGACCAAUAUUGACGCUGAGGAGCGAAAGCCAGGGGAGCAAACGGG
rnacentral:rRNA from 1 species